GGAGCCUCAGAGAGAGGAGGGAGCCCUGGAACAAUGGAUGGUGCUGUUGUGAGCUGGAGUCGGUGGAGGGAAAGAGAGAGAGUCCGGCUGAUGACAGAGUGAAAGAGAUCCCAUUUCAUCAUUUAACCAACACGAUGAAAAAUCUGAUGUUUUUGCAACAAUAUAUUCACCAGCCAAGUACAUAAUACGGGAUCUGGAUUGAAAUUGUGCCUUAACAAAAAGGACAAUGCUGACUGACUUUCUAUAAAGCCAAUAGUCCUCUGCCUUCACCCCCUCCCCAGUCCUCAUCACAGCCACCGAAUAUCCGGACAACAAAAGAGCAGCAGACCAUGCAGCACUUUCACUUGUAGCUGCUCCCAUGCAGUCACCUGUUGCCUCAUGCUGCUUGCAGCUGCUCAAUCUUUCCUCAGACUGGGAAUACAACAUCUGUUGCGUCGGAAUCGGACUUCAUUUUGGUUAAAUUCACACAUAUUUCAUUCCGACCUAAACAAAAUUCUGAGAUUUUUACACAUACAGUGUGAUAGGUAUUGCAAUUACAAUUACACCAAAGGUCGCCCCUCCGCCUUUCCCCACUGACUGUAAAGCUUGUCGUGAAGCUCCUUAAUUGGAGCUGCAUUGUCCUCUUUGCAUGAGCAGCCUCCAGCACAGCCAGCCAAGCGUUUGACCUUAUUCAAAUAAUAAAGAGAUGCUGAUCGGUGAUGGGAGAAAAGACCAAUUAGAGUGUCCUUGUAUGCUGUUAUUAUAAAUGUAAUAGCUCACAUGCGUUUCGACAAGACCGGAGGAAUAAAUCCCAUCCUCAAAAAAAUGAAGUGAAAAUGUGAUUGUAAAAGCUCACAACCAUUUUUGGUUGCACAUGAUUAAAAUGUUGUACUCAAAAAUAUUCAAAUGAUAUAGUUUAGCAUUUCCAUCACUUUUGAAUCAUGUGCAACCC